UACGGAGGGGGCUAGCGUUGUUCGGAAUUACUGGGCGUAAAGCGCACGUAGGCGGCUUUGUAAGUUAGAGGUGAAAGCCCAGGGCUCAACUCUGGAAUUGCCUUUAAGACUGCAUUGCUUGAACACGGGAGAGGUGAGUGGAAUUCCGAGUGUAGAGGUGAAAUUCGUAGAUAUUCGGAAGAACACCAGUGGCGAAGGCGGCUCACUGGACCGUUGUUGACGCUGAGGUGCGAAAGCGUGGGGAGCAAACAGG
rnacentral:rRNA from 1 species